UGCAGAGGCAGGCUACAAAACUAAUAAAAGGAAUGGAACAUAUCGGCUAUGAAGAAAAGUUAACAAAUUUAAACCUAUUUAGUUUAGAAAAACGUUGCAUGAGAGGGGAUAUGAUAACAUUAUACAAAUAUAUUCGGGGCCAAUACAAACCAUUGUGUGGAAAUCUAUUCACAAACCGGACUUUACAUAGGACAGGAAGCCAUGCGUUUAGACUGGAAGAAAGAAGAUUUCGUCUAAGGCAAAGGAAAG